rnacentral:lncRNA from 1 species
AAAAAAAAAAAAAAAAAAAAACAAAAAAAAAAAACCUCUAAGAAGAAAACAUAGAUGCAAACCAUCUUUAUUAGAGGAGGCAAUGAUUUCUUAGAUAUAACACCAAAGCAGAGCAACAAAAGAAAAAUUAGAUAAACUGGAUGUCAUCAGAACUUCUGUACUUCGAAGGACACCAUCCAGAAAGUGAAAAGACAAUCCAAGGAAUGGGAGAAAAUAUUUGCAAAUCAUAUACCUGACAAGUGAAUUCUAACUAGAAUAUAUAAAGAACCCUUACAACUCAACAAGAAAAAGACAAAUAAACCAGGCAUGGUGGCUCACACCUGUAAUCCCAGCACUUCGGGAGGCUGAGGCUGGAGAAUACCUUGAAGCCAAGGAGUUCAAGACCAGCCUGGACAACAUAUCAAGACCGUCUCUUAAACAAAAAAAAAAUUAGCCAGGCAUAGUGAGCCCAAGAGUUUGAGGCUGCAGUGAGCUAUGAUUGCGUCACUGCACUCCAGCCUGGGUGACAGACUGAGACCCUGUCUGUAAAAAAAAUUAAAAUUAUGGCCUGGCACAGUGGCUCACACCUGUAGUCCCAGUACUUUGGGAGGCCGAGGCAGGCAGAUCACUUGAGGUCAGUUUGAGACCAGCCUCUAUUAAAGGGUGAAACCCUGCCUCUACUAAAAAUAUCAAAAUGCCUGGAAUCCCAGCUACUCGGGAGGCUGAGGCAGGAGAAUCGCUUGAACCCGGGAGGCCGAGGCUGCAGUGAGCCGAGAUCAGGCCACCGUACUCCAGCCUGGGUGACAGAGCGAGACUUUGUUGUAAAAAAAGAAAAAAAUAGGGCCAGGUGCGGUGGCUCAUGCCUGUAAUCCCAGCACUUUGGGAGGCCGAGACAGGCAGAUCACCUGAGGUCAGGAGUUAGAGACCAGCCUGGCCAACAUGAUGAAAACCUGCCUCUACUAUAAAUACAAAAGAACUAGCUGAGUGUGGUGGUGCAUGUGCCUGUAAUCCCAGCUACUCGGGAGGCUGAGGCAGGAGAAUCACUGGAACCUGCGAGGCAGAGGUUGCAGUGAGCCAAGAUCGUGCCACUGCACUCCAGCCUGGUGACUGAGCAAGACUCUGUCUAAAAAUAAAUAAAUAAAUAAAAACAUUUAAAGAAAAAUAUUAUUUGGACUAUUGUGGGGAAAUAAACUGUAGAUCAACAAGGGCAGAAACUGGUAAAACAAAUAUAAGAUUAUUGCAAUAAUCCAGAUAUGAUGAUGGCUUGGUGGUGAGAGGUGGUAAGAAGUGGUCAGAUUCUGUACAUAUUGAAGGUAGAGCACACCAGAUUUGCUAAAGGAUUAAGGAUGAGGUAUGAGAGGAAGAAAAGGAUCACGGAUGAUGCCAGGGAUUUUGCCUGAGCAACUGGAUUGAUGAAAUUGUUUUUUACUGAGAUGAGUAAGACUAUGGAAGAAGCCAAUUUAGAGAGAAUAUCGGGAAUUUGGCCUUUGACUAAAUUUGAUACACUUUUAGAUAUCCAAGUUGAAAUGUCAAGGAUGCGGUUGGAAUAAGAGUCUGGAGUUCAGGGGAGAGGCCUGGGUUGGUGAUAUAAAUUUGGGUGUCAUUAGCAUAUGGAGGCAUUUAAAGCCAUGAGGUUGGGUGAGACUGUCCAAGUGUCUAUAAUAAAACCCAAGAAGUCCAACUACCAAGCCCUGGGCCACUCCAAUGUUAGGACUCAGGGAAAUGAAGAGGAACUAGUAAAGGAGACCAAAGAAAGAGCAGCUGAGCUUAGAGGAAAACCAGGAGAGUAUGAUGUCUGUCCUUGAGCCAAAUGAGCAAUGUGUUUCAGGAAGGAGCAAGGAAGGAAGGAGUGAGAAAGCAUGUCAAAUCUUAUCAAAGAGCUAGUUAGAUGAGGAUUGCAAUUAAUAUCCAGAGUUAGCAAUGUGGAAGUCUUUGGUGACCUUGGUAAUCGUUUCAGGGGAAGGUGAAAGAAAAGUAUAAUUAGAGGAGGCUCGGGAGAGAAUGAAAAGAGAGGACUUGGAGUCAAGAAAAACAGAUAAUUCUCUAGAAAUGUCUAGCUGAAAUGAAGAGCAGAGAAAUGGUGUGAAUACCUAGUAAGGGAUACAGAGUCAAGAGAGGUUUCUUUUCUUAAGGUGAGCAAUAAUGCAGCAUUUUUUAGAAAGUGAACGGAAUGAUCUGGUAGAAGAGGAAUCACUGAUGAUACAAGCAAGAGAGGGAAUUGCUGGAGUGCAGGGGAAAGAAUUGGCUUUGAGAAUACCGAAGAGGGCUGAGUAUGUGGGCAUGGAUGCAGGUGGAUGGGUUAUCUGCUGAGAGGGAGGAAAAAGGAGAGGAUAUGAAAAGUUUGAAAAAAGUUACGAAAUAAGCAUUUAGGAAAAGUGGAUGGACUUGAAAAUGUAGUAUGAUUCCCAGGUAGCACUAAAAGCCCACUUGAGGUCAGUGGCGAUGAAUUUUAAGAGUCCAGUUGACACAGUUGUGGGUUUUUCUUCAUCCACUUUCCCAAAGGCAGAGAGUAGGUAGAGUUAGAUUGUGCAGGGUAGGGAUCUUGUGAAGCAAAAUGAGAAUGCAAGAGGAGGCAAGAGAGAAGAGGACCUAUCAAGGGAGUGAUUUUAACAUUGGACCUUGGAAUUUAGGUGGGUAAAAAGGGAAGUGAGGACACAAGAUAGUUGAGGAAUGGUGAAGAGAUAUUAGGAUCACUGGAUUAUAAGGCCCAGGAAGGGAUCAGAGAAGUGUUGGAGUCAGGGUGUUGGAAGGAGUGAGCUGAGAAACAGGAGAUUUAGAAAGAUAAGUAAAAUUAUUGUUAGAUUAUUAUUAAUAAUUGGUAAUUAUUAAAUGGUAAUUGGUAAUUAAAUGGUAAUUGGUAAUUAAUUGGUAAUUGGUAAUAAUUGGUAAUUAUUAAUUGGUAAUUAAUAAAUGGUAGAUAUUUAUUAAUAACUGGAAGCAACCUCUAAAAAAAUCAUAGUAUUAAGACCCAGUUCAUGCCCUCUAAGUGCUCACUCUGUGAUGGGAAAGACAAGACAGAAUGAAAUAAAUAUUAAAGAGAAGUACAUGCUGCUGGGUGUAGUGGCUCACGCCUGUAAUCCUUGUACUUUGGAAGGCUGAGGUGGGUGGAUUGGCUGAGCUCAGGAGUUCGAGACCAGCCUGGGCAACAUGGUGAAACCCCAUCUCUACUAAAAAAAAUACAAAAAAUUAGCUGGUCGUGGUGGUGCAUGCCUGUAGUCCCAGCUACUCUGGAGGCUGAGGCAGGAGAAUCACUUGAAUCCAGGAGGCGGAGGUUUCGGUGAGUGGAAAUUGCACCACUGCACUCCAGCCUGGGCAACAGAGCAAGACUCUGUCUCAAAAAAAAAAAAAAAAAGAAAGAAAGAGAAAGAAAAGAAAAAAAAAGAGGGAAGUAGAUGAAAUGGCUGUGGGAGUCAAAAGGAAUCUGCGAGUAAACGUAAGGGUCAGAUCAAGGAAAGCCUCCAAAGCAGGUGGCAUUUGAAUCGAGCCUCAAAAUGGAGCAAAUGCAGCACAUGGCCUGAAUAAAUGUUCACAGUUACACCAUUGCAAUGAGUGCUCAGAAAACAGAGGUUGGAGUGCAGGGUGGGAGCUAUGGCAGGACAUGAGACUAGAAAAUUAUCUGGAACAGGCAAGGGAUUUUUGAAUGCCAGGCUAAUGCCUGGGCAUUUUUUUUUCUUUUGUUUUUUCUUUUUUCUUUCUUUUUUUUUUUUUUUUUGCAGAGGAAUAGAUAAUACUGAGGUUAGGGGUUAGAGGUUAUUAUUCUAAAUAAUUGAUGCUGACUGGGCGCAGUGGCUCACACGUGUAAUCCCAGCACUUUGGGAGGCCGAGGCAGGUGGAUCAUGAGGUCAGGAGUUCGAGACUAGCCUGACCAACAUGGUGAAACCCCAUCUCUACUAAAAAUAUAAAAACUAGCGGGGAGUGGUGGCACAUGCUGUAGUCCCAGCUACUCAGGAGGCUGAGGCACAAGAAUCACUUGAACCCGGGAGGAGGAGUUUGCAGUGAGCUGAGAUCGUGCCACUGCACUCCAGCCUGGGCGAUAGAGUGAGACUACAUCUCAAAAAAAAAAAAAUGCUCCCAGCUGUUUAUCAUGUUAUGAAGUCAUACUGGUUUUUUUGUUUUGAACAGUCUAGUAAUUUUAUUCUCCAUCAUGUCCUUAAGUCAUAUUAGGGAAGUUUUAUGCUUUGGAUUUUCUGAUUGUCUUUUUAAGAUCAUCUCCCCUCUAUGGCAAUGAUAAUGUUGUUUCUUUCCAAAUAAUGUUCUGUCACAUGCUCAUUCACUUUUUUUUCCAAAUGGCCUUCAACUUCAUCCCCUGAUGUUGGUAGGAAAGUCUAAGAUCCCUCAGCAGUCUGAAGCUCCUCUCAGAAAGGGGUGAGGAGUGGGUUGGAUAGGAUCAGAACUAUGCUGUCCAGGGCAUUCAGACCCGUUGAAGUGGAUAAGAAUUAAAGGUGAACAGUCAGAUCCUCCCAGGGAGAGGAAGCCACAAGAGACACAGCCUCACAACUGUGUUGUCACAGUGUUUUCAGAACUCAGUACCAAUACCAGUGAUGGGGCCACGCUUUUUGCAAGUGACGUUUAUUAUGUCAUUUGAAAAUAUCAGAAUCUCUCUCUUCACAGGCUAGCCAGAUAAGUAUUGAAACCAUUAAUUUCUCUACCAUGUCACUGUGUCUUUGGGCAAGCCCCUUCUCUCCUCUGGACCCAGGGUCCUGCCUAUAAAACGAAGGGGCUCUAUUCAUCCUCCUCUAGGAUCCCUUUCAAUUCUGACAGGCUCUAAUUUUUCUGUUAUCAGUUAUUCUUUAUUAAACUUACAGUAUGUGCCAGCUUUUUUCAAGAUGUGAGACCCUCUCACCCUCUUACUCCUCAACCCCCUGUUAUAACUUAUCUUGGGCUUUUCUUGUUUAAAACAUUUGGAAAAAGUGGUGUGUUCACGGGACCUUUAUUUGCCCUAAGACAUUUGAGGGUAAAUCAUGUGAAGGCCUUUGUUUUCUUCCAGCAGCCAAAACAAUAAAACCACCAAAUUGCGUGCAGCAUCAUUUUCUACUGCCCUCAAGUGGUGGUGGCCCAAAUGUCUUUUCCUGGUUGCAGUUUAAGGAAUAAAACAUGUUUUCAGAAGAACUCUAGGCAUCUAGGAGAGGGUAGGAGAGUCAUAGAGUCACAAAGGGCCUGAGGUGGAAAGGCCCUUACAGGAUGUCUGAUCUAAGCCCCUCGUCUUGAAAGGGAGAGACUGAAGUCCACCUUGGUUCUCUGAUCAGUGAACAAACCUAGUUUCUUCUGUCUUUAAAGAGCUAUCUUAUGACCCUGACUCUAUUUUUGGCUCCAUUUCUCUGCUCCCAUUCACAGUGAAAUUUUCUAAAGAGUUAUCUCCAUACUGUUUCUAUUUCUUCAUCUAUGCUUUAUUAUUAUUAUUACUUUUUAUUUUUUUUUAAAAACAAAAUAAUAAUCUCACUCUGUCGCCCAGGCUGGAGUGCAUUGGGCUGAUGUUGGCUCAUUUCAGCCUCUGCCUAUGGGUUCAAGUGAUUCUCCUGCCUCAGCCUCCCAAGUAGCUGGGACUAUAGGAGGAUGCCACCACACCUGGCUAAUUUUUAUAUUUUUAGUAGAGACAGAGUUUCACCAUGUUGGCCAGGCUGGUCUCGAACUCUUGACCUCAAAUGUUAACCCCCCACCCCGCCGCCCUUGUCUACCAAAGUGCUGGGAUUACAGGCAUGAACCACCGUGCCCACCUUUACACUUUAUUUUUUAACUUUUUACUUUGAAAUAAUCUCAAACUUGCAGAAGAGCUGCAGAAAUAUUACAAAGAAUUCCCAGAUGCCCCAGAAGUUCUCAUGUGUGGGCAUAUGCCUACAUGCAUAUACAUGGAUAUGUAUAUUUUUUCCUGAGCCAUUUGAAUUGCAGUAGUUACCCCUAAUACCUUAAAUAUUUCAAUGUGUAUUUUCUGAGAAAAGGACAUUCUCUUAUAUACCUACAUACCCACUCAGUAUGACAAUCAAAUCCAGAAAUUUUAAAUUGACAUAGUGCUUAUAUACAGUCCAUACUCAAAUUUCACUAAUUGGCCUGAUAAUGUCCUAUAUAGCAGUAUUUUCCCCCAUCAGGUUCUGAUCCAGUGCCUGAUCCAGGUAAUGCAUUAUACUUAACUGUCAUGACUUUUAAAAAGGUUUUUUUUCUUUUAAUUAUUAUUUUUUAGAAACAGGAUCGCGCUCUGUCACCCAGGCUGGAGGGCAGUGGUUCAAUUACAGCUCACUUACAACCUUGAAUUCCUGGGCUCAAGCGAUCCUCCCACCCCUGCUUCCAGACUAGCUAGCUAGUACCGCAGGCACGCACCACUAUGCCUGGCUAAUUUUUUAAAAAAUUAUUUUUGUAGAGGUGGGGUCUCGUUAUGUUGCCCAGACUGGCCUAUAAUUCUCAGCCUCAAAGUGAUCUUCCUGUCUCUGCUUCCCAAAGUGCUGGAAUUUCAGGUGUGAGCCACCACACCUAGCCUGUUAUAACUCUUUAGUGUCCUUUAAUCUAGAAUAGUUCCCCAGUCUUUCACUAUUAUUCACGAUAUUCACAUUUUUAAAGAGUACUGGCCAGGUGUUCUGUAGUGUCUCCCCCUGUUUGGCUUUGUCUCAUGUUUUCUCAUGAAGGGAUUUACAUAUUUUUCCAGGAAGAAAUCCUAGUUAUAUGAUGUUGUGUCCUUCUCAGUGCAUCAUAUGGGGAGAAACGUGGUGUCACUUGGUCCCAUUAUUGAUGGUGUUCACUUUGAUCAGCGGAUUAAGGUGGUAUCUACCAGAUUUCUUCACUGUAGAGUAUUUUUUCCUGUGUAAGUAAUGGUAAUCUGUAGAGAGGGACUUUGAAACUAUGUAAAUAUCCUGUUCCUCUUCAAACUUUUGCCCAAUGGUUUCAACACUCAUUGAUAAUUCUUGUCUGAAUCAAUUACUGUGAUAGUUGCAAACUGGUGAUUUUCUACUUCUAUCAUUCCAUCUACAUUUUUUAGUUGGCAUUCUACUGUAAGCAAGAAGGUUUCCUUCUCUCUAAUUAUUAUCAUGAGUAUAAACUAAUGUAUUCUUAAUUUAUUUAAUGAGUUAUAAACAUUACCCUUAUUAUUUUUUAAAUGUUCAACUUGUCCCAGGUUUGGCCAAUGAGAGCCUCUUCAAACUAGCUCCUGUGUCCUUUUGACAUGUCUUCAUCACUUUUUUUUAACACCUCCUUGCUUUCUGGCAUAAUAAGAUGUUCCAGGCUUAUCUUGUACUUUCACUGCCUAGUCCUGAAAAUCAGCCAUUUCUCCAAAGAGCUACUCUUUAGUGGGGAAUGGUAUUUAGAAACCAAGAUUUGGGCAUCAGAUGUGCUCAUUCCUAUUGGAGUGUAAUUGCUUCUAGGCCAUUUUAGUAAACAGAGCCAAAGGGGAAAAAUAGUAACCUAAUUUUGUUUAAUUAUUAUUAUAAUUAUUUUUAACAGAGACAGGGUCUCACUCUGUUGCCCAGACUGGAGUGCAGUGAUGCUAUCAUAGCUCACUGCAGAUAUGAACUCCUGAGAUCACCUCAGCCCCUGGAAUAGGCUAGGACUACACGCCACUACACUCAGCUAAUAUUUUUAAAUUCUUUAUAGAGAUGGGGUCUCACUAUGUUGCCCAGGCUGGUCUCAAUCUCCUGGCCUCAAGUGAACCUCCUACUUUGGCCUCCCAAAGUGCUGGGAUUACAAGCAUGAGCCACUGCACCCAGCUCUGGUCAACCAUUUUAAAUUAAUAAUUCAUUACUGAUACUUUAAUUCCAAUUUAACACCACAGGGUUCUUUCUCCUAUUCCUUAUUUGCAUCUCCCUUUUCCCACAGUAAGAACUCUGGCUCUCAACAACAUCAAUGUCUUUAUUCAUUUGUUUAAAAUUAUGAUAUAGGCUGGGCAUGGUGGCUCAUGCCUGUAAUCUCAGCACUUUGGGAGGCCAAGACGGGCAAAUCACUUGAGGUCAGGAGUUCGAGGCCAGCCUGGCCAACAUGGCGAAACCCCAUCUCUACUAAAAAAUACAAAAUUUAGCCGGGCAUGGUAGUGCAUGCCUG